GAUGAAGAACGUAGUGAAAUGCGAUAAGUAAUGUGAAUUGCAGAAUUCAGUGAAUCAUCGAAUCUUUGAACGCACAUUGCGCCCUUUGGUAUUCCUUAGGGCAUGCCUGUUCGAGCGUCAUUUAAACCUUCAAGCUCAGCUUGGUGUUGGGUGACUGUCCGCUUCACCGCGGACUCGCCUCAAAAUUAUUGGCGGCCGGUACAUUGGCUCUCGAGCGCAGCAGAAACGCGUAACUCGAGGUCCUCGUGCUGGCUCCCAGAAGCUAUCUUCACAAUUUUGACCUCGGAUCAGGUAGGGAUACCCGCUGAACUUAAGCAUAUCAAUAAGCGGAGGA
rnacentral:misc_RNA from 1 species